rnacentral:rRNA from 1 species
GGAUUUUGAGACUUUGAGUUGUUUAACUUGGCUUUGCUAGCCCGACAAGUGUGGAGAAUCUUGCAAACACCAGAGACCCUAAGUGCGAGAAUUAUCAAGCCUGUCUACUAUCCAGACACCGAUAUACUGCAUGCAACACUUGGUUCAUCACCGUAUGCACCACCCCAGUUAGUAUCUGAACUGAUCAAUGCAACAACAGGUUGGUGGGACAGGGCCGAGCUUAGUAGGCAUUUCUUGACCAUGGACGUCAAGGCAAUUUCAACGAUUCCCAUCAGAACAGUCCAGCAAGAGGAUUUUUGGGCAUGGCAUCAUGAGAAUACAGACGUCUUCUCGGUAAGAUCUUGUUAUCGCAUGUUGAUCACAACUAAGAAAGUACGGGAAGACUGGUUGGAAGGUAGACCAAGUUCGAGCUCAACCCGGUUAGAGAAGGCCUGAACAACGCUAUGAAAGAUUAAAGUCCCAUCCAAAGUCCGGGUUUUUGUUUGGCGCUUGGCUCAGUGAUCUAUGCCUUCUGGUGUCGAGCUACACCAUAGACAUAUGGCAACAACACCGAGAUGUGAGCUAUGUGGGGUAGAAAAUGAUACAUGGCGUCAUUCCCUCCUUGAUUGCACCAUGGUGAGGUGUGUAUGGGCGCUCAUUGACGAAUCACUUACAGAACAUAUGAGCUUGUUGAACAGUCCGGAUGCCAAGGAGUGGUUGUUCCAUAUGCUAGAAUCGGUGCCGCAUGUAGACUUUACAAAGUUGAUCAUCACAUUGUGGGUGAUCUCGGGUGUUAGAAGGAAAGCAACCCAUGAGGCAAUCUUCCAAAGCCCAGAAGUUAUUCAUGGAUUCAUUAUGAGGUAUCUAGCUGAUUUGGAGAUCGUCGAAAAUACUACACAGAAGCAGGUGAAGGUAGGGCAUCGACACGUACGUGUACAGAAGUGGAUUCCACCGAUGGGAGGUAUGGUCAAGAUAAAUGUUGAUGGUGGCAUUGCCAAGAACUGCAACAAGGGCGGGGUGGCGGCCCUAUGCCGGGACGACCAGGGUAUCUACCUCGGCUCGUCAGCACGCAUAAUUGACGUGUGCGAUGAUCCGUGCACGCUGGAAGCUAUGGCAUGCCUGGAGGCAUUAUCUCUUGAAACUGACCUGAACCUAAACCGGAACAUCAUUGCAUGCGACUCAGAAUCGGUGGUGAAGCACAUUAACGAAGGCAGCAGGUGCGCCUAUAGCUCCAUUCUACGAGAGAUCAAUAUACGACGACAGGAGUUUGAAGAGGCUCGAAUAAUUCAUGAAGGAAGAACAUCCAAUAUGAAAGCUCAUAAUUUUAUAAAGAGUGUGCUAUUUUAG